rnacentral:tRNA from 1 species
GCCCGGAUGGCGAAAUCGGUAGACGCAAGGGACUUAAAAUCCCUCGGGGGGUAACCCCGUGCCGGUUCGACCCCGGCUCCGGGCACCA